UUUCUUUUAUUUCCUCGGUUUUCUUUUCUUAUUUCUUUUUCAUUGACUACCCUUUUCCGUGCUUCUUUCUUUUGAAUCGUCGAGUUGUCGAAUUUUUAUUUUUCUUUCUUUUUCUCGAUUCAUCAUUUUUUUUUCUUUUUCUCUUGUUUUUUCACUUUCUUGGGCUUUGAGAGCUUUUGGGGUUUUUACCCCAAACUUAGC
rnacentral:lncRNA from 1 species